CCUACGGGAGGCAGCAGUAGGGAAUUUUCCACAAUGGACGAAAGUCUGAUGGAGCAACGCCGCGUGCAGGAUGAAUGCCUUCGGGUUGUAAACUGCUUUUAUAUGUGACGAAUAUGACGGUAGCAUAUGAAUAAGGAUCGGCUAAUUCCGUGCCAGCAGCCGCGGUCAUACGGAAGAUCCAAGCGUUAUCCGGAAUUACUGGGCGUAAAGAGUUGCGUAGGCGGCAUGGUAAGCAGGUAGUGAAAGCGUGGGGCUCAACCCCAUACACAUUAUCUGAACUGCCAAGCUAGAGGAUGAGAGAGGUUAUUGGAAUUCCCUGUGUAGGAGUGAAAUCCGUAGAUAUAGGGAGGAACACCGAUGGCGUAGGCAGAUAACUGGCUCAUUCCUGACGCUAAGGCACGAAAGCGUGGGGAGCAAACGGGAUUAGAUACCCUGGUAGU
rnacentral:rRNA from 1 species